UAGACCUUUUUUGUUCUUUUUCAUUUAUUAAAUCUGCUGAAAAUUUUCUCUGAUUGUCCUUUCAGGCAUGUGGUGCUUCCUCCUGAAACGGUGAAACUCCUUCCGAAGAAUCAGCUCCUCUCUUAAGUAAGUAAUUAGGAUUUCUGAUGUUUUUCACAUUUUUUGAAAUGUCAAUAAGCUAAUAAUAUUUGGUUUUCUAUUCUUUGCGUCUUGAUACUUUGAAGAAAUUAACUUGAACAAACUGCAGUUAUUAGAUUUUAUUUGAUUUGAGUUUGUCUAUCCACUAUAUAAGCAAACAGGGGUUGACCUGAGCCACACAUCAUGCUCUUCAGGAGCCCUCUGAACUAGCUAUCAGCAGCAGCAGGAGAUCUAGGCCCAGUAGACCAUGCUUGCAAGUAAUCCAUCAUUCCUGAUAAACUUGCUUUUGAUCUCUGGAAGUGAAAUGACUAAUUAAGUAGAGUUUAUGUUUGCCUAAAAAAGAUUUUGGAUGUUUUGGAACUUGGGGUCUGUAUAUAUAGAGUAAUUAUACUCGUCGGCCGGUGUGAAUGAACAGUGAUUCACACCGGCCGACGUGGAACCUGUUUUGUCAGAAAAAAAAAAUUUUUUUUUUUUUUUUUAAUGGAAACAGGUUACACGUCGGCCGGUGUGAAUCACUGUUCAUUCACACCCGGCCGACGUGAAUCAUUACUCUCUUUCUAUUGUUUGGAUAUUUGAUAAGAAAAUGAGAGGAAAGUUUUUGUCCUUGUUUGGUUAACAGUGAAGCUAAAUACAUGCUCUUUUACGACCGUUUAGUUUGCAGAAUAGGCUAUUAGAAUUGAAUGGCUUUUCUUUUGAAAUAGCCAUUUUUUUACUUGGUAGCUAAAAACCUAUUAUUAAGAAAUAAUUAUUCUAAUGAGAAUAACUAUUUUCUUACCAAGAAGAAUACCGAUUUAUCUAAAAAAUGAGAUAAAUAGUUAUUCUUAAAGGAAUAGACAACAUUAAAAAACCAUAUUCUUUUUCUUUUAUUUUAUUUCAAACUUUUUUUUUUUUAAAAAAAAUAAUAAUAAACGUUGAAUCUAUCGGCCACGGCAACCCACAGCAAAACUUGGGGUGGCCACAACUACCCCUGGAGCCCCUUAGGGUGUGUUUGACAAAGGGCUAGGUUGGGUUGGGGGCAGGGGCAAAACCAGAAUUUUUGGUGUGGGGAGACGAAUUUUUUAUUUUAUUUUUAUAAGUUGAGGAGACGGACUUAUACAAAUACAUAUAAUAUCUCAUUAGAAUAUUGAGGGAAACUAAAUGAAUAAGGCAUUUUAGAUUUUUUAUGUUGAAAGAGGUGGACAAAACUAGAAAAAGUAAUUAAUGGGAGACAAAAAUAUUAUUUUGAUGUAACAAAAAUAUUAUUUGGGAGAACAAAUUUAUAAAAUAUGUAUAUUUUUUUAAAAAAAUGUAAACAUUUUGGGGGGACAUUUGGCCUUGGGUCUACCCCUGGUUAGAGGGUUUUGGAAUUUUGAUGUGAUAUAAAAUAAAAAGAAUGUUGUAAAUUUUUUUGUAUUGAAAAAUGAAAUUUUUUUGUUUUUUAGUGAGUUUUUAUUUGAAAAUAAUAAAAAGUAUUUGAUGUAAUAUAAAAAGUGAAAAAAAUUGUUAAAAAGUGAUUGAAGAAAUAUAAAAAGUUGAAAUCUUUUGAUGUGAUUUUUUUUUAGGUUUUAAAAAAUAAAGGGGUAUAUACCUUUUUGCCCCCUGUGGUUUAAAGUUUUUAUUCAAAAUCAUUUCAGUUUCAUUGUUUAUUAUAUGGGGUACCUCAAUUUUGGAUAAAGACGAAUGAUGGUACUUCUGUCUAUCUACUGUCUAAUUAAUUAACGGAGCUCUAUGUUACUGCCACUCUGGCCCUUUUAAAAAACGACACCUGUCCCACAUCAUCGCCAUAUCAGUUUGUAAAAUUAAGAGAAAAAUUCGAAAUUGAAGCCUUAGGUUUUUGACCGGUCAUCCCAAAAUUCCUUGUUCCCUUUAUUCUUUUGAAAUCUGCUACUAUUCUCCAUGUUCUUCCUAAUAGUUAUCGAUUCGGCCGGAUCUGUCAACGUCAAUUUCCAAACAAAGUGCCCACCACUCGUGGAUUGAGUCCCACCGACAGGCUCGAUCGGUUCUUGUCAAACGCCGUCAAGACCGACUAGAGCUGGAAAACUGUUAUGACUUAGAGUUGUUUCCUCUUCAUCGUCGUUUUCUUCAUUUCUAACCUUGUUUGUCUAGUGGAAGUGCCUCUUGGAGGAGAAAUCUUGAGUGCUCUUCGCCAUGGCUUGUUGCUUCAUGUGAGAAAGCAAAUUAAAGACAAAGAUAUCUUGUUGGGUGAGAAAGAGAUUGUUUCUUUUUUAUUGAGA
rnacentral:precursor_RNA from 1 species